rnacentral:rRNA from 1 species
GACGAACGCUGGCGGCGUGCCUAAUACAUGCAAGUAGAACGCUGAAGGAGGAGCUUGCUUCUCUGGAUGAGUUGCGAACGGGUGAGUAACGCGUAGGUAACCUACCUGGUAGCGGGGGAUAACUAUUGGAAACGAUAGCUAAUACCGCAUAAGAGUAGAUGUUGCAUGACAUUUGCUUAAAAGGUGCAAUUGCAUCACUACCAGAUGGACCUGCGUUGUAUUAGCUAGUUGGUGGGGUAACGGCUCACCAAGGCGACGAUACAUAGCCGACCUGAGAGGGUGAUCGGUCACACUGGGACUGAGACACGGCCCAGACUCCUACGGGAGGCAGCAGUAGGGAAUCUUCGGCAAUGGACGGAAGUCUGACCGAGCAACGCCGCGUGAGUGAAGAAGGUUUUCGGAUCGUAAAGCUCUGUUGUAAGAGAAGAACGAGUGUGAGAGUGGAAAGUUCACACUGUGACGGUAUCUUACCAG